ACAUAGUAUUUUCUGCUCAAUGAGAUAUUUAAUAGCCGCAGUACCCUGACUGUGCUAAGGUAGCGUAAUCAUUUGUCUUCUAAUUAAAGUCGUGUAUGAAUGAAUAUAUGGGGGCUUUCUUUACCAUUAAUACUUAUUGAAGUUUCUUAAUGAGUGCAAAUUCUCAUGGAUAAUUAAUAGACGAGAAGACCCUAGAAAUUUUAAUUAUUUUUUGUUGGGGCAACAUAAUAACAAGUAAUAAAUUUAUUAUAUGUAUAUGAAAUAUUUUAGGUAAAGUAAAUUACUCUAGGGAUAACAGCAUAAUAUAUAAAUGUUUGUGACCUCGAUGUUGGAUUAGGGAGUCGUAGUUUAGAAGAUAUUCGAUUAAGCUCUGUUCGCGCA
rnacentral:rRNA from 1 species